GCUAACGCGAUAGAAGAAAUGUUUCUUCUAUCUAAAAUAUUAGAAAGAAUUUUGCUGCUGUAACUAUGACGGUCCUAAGGUAGCAAAAUUCCUUGUCGGGUAAGUUCCGACCCGCACGAAAGGC
rnacentral:ncRNA from 1 species